GAUGAACGCUGGCGGCGUGCCUAAUACAUGCAAGUCGAGCGAAUGGAUUGAGAGCUUGCUCUUAUGAAGUUAGCGGCGGACGGGUGAGUAACACGUGGGUAACCUGCCCAUAAGACUGGGAUAACUCCGGGAAACCGGGGCUAAUACCGGAUAACAUUUUGAACCGCAUGGUUCGAAAUUGAAAGGCGGCUUCGGCUGUCACUUAUGGAUGGACCCGCGUCGCAUUAGCUAGUUGGUGAGGUAACGGCUCACCAAGGCAACGAUGCGUAGCCGACCUGAGAGGGUGAUCGGCCACACUGGGACUGAGACACGGCACAGACUCCUACGGGAGGCAGCAGUAGGGAAUCUUCCGCAAUGGACGAAAGUCUGACGGAGCAACGCCGCGUGAGUGAUGAAGGCUUUCGGGUCGUAAAACUCUGUUGUUAGGGAAGAACAAGUGCUAGUCGAAUAAGCUGGCACCUUGACGGUGCCUAACCAGAAAGCCUCGGCUAACUACGUGCCAGCAGCCGCAGUAA
rnacentral:rRNA from 1 species